UACGUAGGGAGCAAGCGUUGUCCGUAAUUAUUGGGCGUAAAGCGCGCGUAGGUGGCCUCAUAAGUCCGCUGUGAAAGUCAAAGGCUCAACCUUUGAAAGCCGGUGGAUACUGUGAGGCUAGAGUACGGAAGAGGCGAGUGGAAUUCCUGGUGUAGCGGUGGAAUGCGCAGAUAUCAGGAGGAACACCAGUAGCGAAGGCAGCUCGCUGGGACGUUACUGACACUGAGGCGCGAAAGCGUGGGGAGCGAACAGG
rnacentral:rRNA from 1 species